AUUGAACGCUGGCGGCAGGCCUAACACAUGCAAGUCGAGCGAGCGGCGGACGGGUGAGUAAUGUAUGGGGACUGCCCGAUAGAGGGGGAUAACUCCUGGAAACGGUGGCUAAUACCUCCUACUGUCGUGUCACCCCUAUGGGAUUAACUAGUAGGUAAGGUAAUGGCUUACCUCGGCGACGAUCCCUAGCUGGUCUGAGAGGAUGAUCAGCCACACUGGGACUGAGACACGGCCCAGACUCCUACGGCGGCAGCAGUGGGGAAUAUUGCACAAUGGGCGCAAGCCUGAUGCAGCCAUGCCGCGUGUAUGAAGAAGGCCUUAGGGUUGUAAAGCACUUGAAGCCGGGAGGCGUUACCCACAGAAGAAGCACCGGCUAACUCCGUGCCAGCAGCCGCGGUAAUAC
rnacentral:rRNA from 1 species